CCAAGUCCUUUCUCAUUGUUUUUUUAAUACUGAAUUUUUGAAUUGUUGUUACACGUAAUUUCCCAUGUCCGCUGGGAGGGGUGGAUACAUAAUUUUUGAAUUGUUGUUACAUGUAAUUUCCCAUGUCCGCUGGGAAGGGUGGAUACAUAAAGGACCUAAAACUUGCAAUAGUAUGAGUUCUGACUUGCAUUCUUGACGUUAUGCUAAAAUGCCAUUAUUGUUCACACUUGAUAAUCUCCCUGCGCAACUGAUCCUUUUCUAUG
rnacentral:lncRNA from 1 species